rnacentral:rRNA from 1 species
CCUACGGGAGGCAGCAGUGGGGAAUAUUGGGCAAUGGGCGCAAGCCUGACCCAGCAACGCCGCGUGAAGGAAGAAGGCUUUCGGGUUGUAAACUUCUUUUCUCAGGGACGAAGCAAGUGACGGUACCUGAGGAAUAAGCCACGGCUAACUACGUGCCAGCAGCCGCGGUAAUACGUAGGUGGCAAGCGUUAUCCGGAUUUACUGGGUGUAAAGGGCGUGUAGGCGGGAAAGCAAGUCAGAUGUGAAAACCAUGGGCUCAACCUGUGGCCUGCAUUUGAAACUGUUUUGCUUGAGUACUGGAGAGGCAGACGGAAGUCAUGGUGUAGCGGUGAAAUGCGUAGAUAUUAGAAGGAACACCGGUGGCGAAGGCAGUCUGCUGGGCAGCAACUGACGCUGAGGCGCGAAAGCGUGGGGAGCAAACAGGAUUAGAUACCCGGGUAGUC